GGGAGGAAAUUUUACUUCCGUCUUUCUUAGAUAUGAUAAUAUCAAUUUUUUUUGUUCUAAUUGGUAGUAUUUUAUUAUGUAAUAACUGAGUUUUUGUUAUAAUUUCUCUUUCUAUGGCCAGUUUAAUAAGAUUAAUUAAUAUUAAUCAGUUUUUUACUUUUAGCGUGAACAUUGGAUGAAACUCAAGAGCUCUGAGAAAUAUAUUGAUUUUUUUAACUGUUUAUCUUUUUUUAUUGGUUUUUCUUAGCUCUAAAAAUCUAUCAUCUGUUAAAUACAACACUACACUGAUCAUAUUAGCAAUCUUCCUAGUUGUGACGUUUAGUACUAAGAAUAUAUUUUAUUUUUAUAUAUUUUUUGAGGCCUCUUUAAUUCCUACAUUAGCCCUAAUCAUCGGCUGAGGGUAUCAACCUGAGCGAUUGCAGGCCGGUACCUAUAUAAUAUUAUACACAGUUUUUGCUUCUCUGCCAUUGUUGGUCAUAAUUAUGUAUUUUUUUAAUUUACAUAAUACUUGUGAUUUUCAAAUUUUAGAAAUGUUAAACAAAACCCCUUUGGAUUGAUAUAUAGUCAUUUUUGUUUUAACUGCAUUUUUAGUGAAACUACCAAUUUAUAGCACUCAUUUGUGGCUUCCUAAAGCACACGUAGAAGCUCCUUUAGCUGGUUCAAUAAUCUUAGCUGGUGUAUUGUUAAAAUUAGGAGGAUAUGGAUUGGUUAAAAUGGGAAAUACAUUUACGAUUAGAAGAAUAAAUCUUGUAAGAGUAUUCAUCUAUUCUUUAAGUAUUUGGGGUGCUGUUUUAUCUAGAUUGAUAUGUUUACGUCAAGUUGAUGUAAAGGCCAUAGUAGCUUAUUCGUCAGUAGGGCAUAUGAGGGUGGUGGUCUUAGGGGCAUUAUAUAACAACACUUCAAGUGUCUUUGCGGCUACUGUAACCAUAUUUGCCCAUGCUUUUAGCUCAUCUGCCUUGUUUUGUUUAGCUUAUUAUAGAUAUGAAAAAAUUUCAAGUCGAAGUAUAAUAUACAUAAAAGGGUAUUUAACAAUAUUUCCGAUUUUAUCAUUACUAUGAUUUAUCUUUACUUGUAUUAACAUAGCAGCACCGCCAACAUUAAAUUUAAUUGGUGAGAUACUAAUUGUUCCAAUGCUAUCAAAUUUAGGAGUAUAUUUUAUAGUAACAAUAGGACUGUGUAUUUUUUUAUCAGCCUGUUAUAAUAUAUUUUUAUAUACUGCGGUUAAUCAUGGUAAAGGUAGUGAGUUUAUUAUUGGAGGAAAUCAGUUAACUAAUAAUCAAAUAUUAGUUAUAGGAAUACACUUAGCUCCUCUAUUACUUUUGUUAAAAAUAAAUCUAUUUUGCUUUGCGUUGAUUAUAUUCUACUAAUCAUAAAGAUAUUGGAACAUUAUAUUUAAUUUUUGGGAUCUGGUGUGGAUUGGUCGGUACAGGUUUAAGCUUGUUAAUUCGUUUGGAAUUAGGAACAUCUCUUGUACUAUUGGAUGAACAUUUUUAUAAUGUAAUUGUUACAGCACAUGCUUUUGUAAUGAUUUUUUUUAUAGUUAUACCGAUAAUAAUUGGAGGGUUUGGGAAUUGAAUAGUACCUAUAUUAAUUGGUGCUCCCGAUAUAAGAUUUCCUCGAAUAAAUAAUAUAAGAUUUUGACUUUUACCUCCUUCAUUUAUCUUAUUAUUAUGUAGGUCUAUAGUAGAGGGUGGAGUUGGAACUGGGUGAACUGUUUACCCCCCUCUAUCAGGACCUGUAGCUCACUCUGGUUCAUCAGUAGAUCUUGCUAUUUUCUCAUUACACUUAGCUGGGUUAUCAUCUAUUCUAGGUGCUAUUAAUUUUAUUACUACCAUUUUUAAUAUACGUUCACCUGGUAUUACACUGGAACGCAUAAGCUUAUUUGUUUGAUCGGUGUUAAUUACUGCAUUUUUAUUAUUAUUGUCAUUGCCUGUUUUAGCAGGGGCUAUUACUAUACUAUUAACUGAUCGAAAUUUUAAUACUAGGUUCUUUGAUCCAAGAGGAGGUGGAGACCCUAUUCUAUAUCAACAUCUAUUUUGAUUUUUUGGUCAUCCAGAAGUGUAUAUUUUAAUUUUGCCUGGAUUUGGAAUCAUCAGACAUAUCUUAUCUAACUUUACUAAUAAACCAGCAUUUGGUACCUUAGGAAUAAUUUAUGCUAUGUUAAGUAUUGGUGUUUUAGGUUUUAUUGUGUGGGCACACCAUAUGUUUACAGUAGGUAUAGAUGUAGAUACUCGAGCAUAUUUUACAGCAGCAACAAUAGUAAUUGCUGUACCAACCGGGAUUAAAGUCUUUAGCUGAAUAAUAACGAUUUAUGGAAGUAAAUCUAAACUUACUGCUAGUAUAUACUGAGUAUUAGGAUUUAUCUUUUUAUUCACACUAGGAGGUUUGACCGGAAUUGUACUUUCAAAUUCAUCUCUAGAUAUUAUAUUACAUGAUACAUAUUAUGUGGUAGCUCAUUUUCACUAUGUAUUAUCAAUAGGAGCAGUCUUCGCUUUAUUUGCUGGGUUUGUUUACUGAUUUCCAGUAAUUACUGGAUUAACUAUACAUGAAUCUUGAUCCAAAAUUCAUUUCUUUAUUAUGUUCUUUGCUGUGAAUAUAACAUUUUUUCCACAGCAUUUUUUAGGCUUGGCUGGAAUACCACGACGGUAUGUUGAUUAUCCUGAUACAUAUUAUAAGUGAAAUCAAAUCUCAUCAUUUGGAUCCCUAUUCAGAAUUAUUGCAGUAUUAAUGUUCAUUUUCUUAGUAUGAGAAGCUCUAACGUCACAGCGGAGUUACUUAUUUUCUGAAAGUUCACAUAGAUCUCGAGAAUGAGAUUACGCACUUCCUCCAGAUUUUCAUAGUAAUCUAGAGACUAGUGUUUCUCCUUUAUAAACGUGUAUCUUAAUUAAAUAUGUUCAAAAA